AUGCCAGACUCCUACGGGAGGCAGCAGUGGGGGAUAUUGCACAAUGGGGGGAACCCUGAUGCAGCGACGCCGCGUGGGUGAAGGAGCACCUCGGUGCGUAAAGCCCUAUCGGCAGGGAAGAAACAGACGGUACCUGACUAAGAAGCCCCGGCUAACUACGUGCCAGCAGCCGCGGUAAUACGUAGGGGGCAAGCGUUAUCCGGAUUCACUGAGUGUAAAGGGGGCGCAGACGGCGAUGCAAGCCAGGAGUGAAAGCCCGGGGCCCAACCCCGGGACUGCUCUUGGAACUGCGUGGCUAGAGUGCAGGAGGGGCAGGCGGAAUUCCUGGUGUAGCGGUGAAAUGCGUAGAUAUCAGGAGGAACACCGGUGGCGAAGGCGGCUUACUGGACUGUAACUGACGUUGAGGCUCGAAAGCGUGGGGAGCAAACAGGAUUAGAUACCCCAGUA
rnacentral:rRNA from 1 species